AGCGAACGCUGGCGGCAGGCUUAACACAUGCAAGUCGAACGGAUCCUUCGGGAUUAGUGGCGGACGGGUGAGUAACACGUGGGAACGUGCCUUUUGGUUCGGAACAACACAGGGAAACUUGUGCUAAUACCGGAUGUGCCCUUCGGGGGAAGGAUUAUCGCCAUUAGAGCGGCCCGCGUCUGAUUAGCUAGUUGGUGAGGUAAAGGCUCACAAGGCUACGAUCAGUAGCUGGCUGAGAGGAUGAUCAGCCACACUGGGACUGAGACACGGCCCAGACUCCUACGGGAGGCAGCAGUGGGGAAGUCUUGCGCAAUGGGGGAAACCCGUGACGCAGCCAUGCCGCGUGAAUGAUGAAGGUCUUAGGAUUGUAAAAUUCUUUCAGCGGGGGACGAUAAUGACGGUACCCGCAGAAGAAGCUCCGGCUAACUUCGUGCCAGCAGCCGCCGUAAU
rnacentral:rRNA from 1 species